rnacentral:rRNA from 1 species
AUACGGAGGGGGUUAGCGUUGUUCGGAAUUACUGGGCGUAAAGCGCACGUAGGCGGAUUGGAAAGUUGGGGGUGAAAUCCCAGGGCUCAACCCUGGAACUGCCUCCAAAACUAACAGUCUAGAGUUCGAGAGAGGUGAGUGGAAUUCCAAGUGUAGAGGUGAAAUUCGUAGAUAUUUGGAGGAACACCAGUGGCGAAGGCGACUCACUGGCUCGAUACUGACGCUGAGGUGCGAAAGCGUGGGGAGCAAACAGGAUUAGAAACCCUAGUAGUCC